rnacentral:tRNA from 1 species
GCUGAUAUGGCCGAGUCGUUAAGGCGAGUGAUUUGAAUUAAAUUCAAACCUAUCACUUGGGAAUUCCCGCGUAGGUUCAAAUCCUGCUGUCAGCG